rnacentral:rRNA from 1 species
UGGUCAAGUUAUUAAGGGUGCAGGGUGGAUGCCUUGGCACUAGGAGCCGAUGAAGGACGUGAUAAGCUGCGAUAAGCUUCGGGGAGUUGCACGUAAACUUUGAUCCGAAGAUUUCCGAAUGAGGAAACUCACUUAGAGUAAUGUCUAAGUAUCAUUAAGUGAAUACAUAGCUUAAUGAGGGGAACUCAGGGAACUGAAACAUCUAAGUACCUGAAGGAAGAGAAAGAAAUUCGAUUCCGUAAGUAGCGGCGAGCGAACGCGGAUUAGCCCAAACCAAUAAAGUUUUCUUUAUUGGGGUUGCGGACAUAUCAUAACGAAGAGGUAUCGUAAUUGAAGAGGUUUGGAAAGACCCACCACAGAAGGUAAUAGUCCUGUAUGUUAAACGAGAAGACUUCAGAUAUGA